AACGACUCUCGGCAACGGAUAUCUCGGCUCUCGCAUCGAUGAAGAACGUAGCGAAAUGCGAUACUUGGUGUGAAUUGCAGAAUCCCGUGAACCAUCGAGUCUUUGAACGCAAGUUGCGCCCCAAGCCUUUAGGCCGAGGGCACGUCUGCCUGGGUGUCACGCA
rnacentral:rRNA from 1 species